GGUGGGGGAGGGAGGCUAUAUAGGGAGCUGCUGGGAGCACAGCUCGCUCUUUUGCGUCUGGACUCGGGGCUUUGUCUUAUGUCUUUGGAACAAUGGCGCUCGGUGUAACGAAGCCGUUACGUGAAGAUGCUAAGAUGCAAAGGAAAAUUCCAAAACUUAUGGGAGAAUAUUUGCUGGAAAAUUACCUGGCUCAGACCUGAGGAUCUUGCCAGCAUCCUGGGAGUUGGUGAAUACUAAUGAGGCUGUGGCUGUCACUCGCUGUCAGAUUCAUUUUGAAUGAGAGGUCGCUGUCUGCCUGUUGAAAGGCCAGUUUGCUAUGACGUCUUUAAGCUGUAACCAUUUCUGUGUUACAAGAUUUACCUGCCUAUUGUAUGGAAAACUGGUGAUCUUCAUUUUAUGAACAUGGAAAGAAAACAUGCAGAUCAAGAUUAUCUGGAGUAUUUUUUAGUCAUGUCACACUGUCCUGGAGGCCCACAACCUGUUAACUAGUAGAUUACAUCCUAGCUCUGUUUCUAGGAGUGCAUGUCAAACUAUUUGUAAUGGAAUUUUUUCCCCCAGUUAAGGAGUCUUAUAAUCAAAUAAUUAAUUGGAUGAAUGUCUUACCUGUUGGUUAAGUAUUUAAAUGUAAAAUGUGUAAUUAAAGCUGUGUAAAAGUUUAUGUUGUUUAAUGGAGAUGAGAGCAAGAUGGAAAGACGGCCUUUAAUGGGGUUGGGGGUUUAAUGUAAUUUGAAAGAAUGUUUAAACUCAAAAAUGGAGAGUAAUGAUGAGAAUAAAGAG